AACGCACAUUGCGCCUCCUCUCAUCGGGAGGCAUGCCUGUCUGAGCGUCAUUAAUCCCAUAAAUCUUUCUUGGAUUUGUGUUGGGCUCUGAACCCUCUGGGGUUCAUUGUCUCAAAGACAUGGGCCUUGAAAUUCACGGAUGAGCUCCUUGUGGACCUGACCGUGGUUUGGCCACCUUGAAUCUGUCUUUUGGCAGCCAUUCUAUAUUUGACCUCAGAUCAGGUAGGAAGACCGCCUGAACUUAA
rnacentral:misc_RNA from 1 species